AGCGAACGCUGGCGGCAGGCCUAACACAUGCAAGUGGUACGAAGUCUUCGGACUUAGUGGCGGACGGGUGAGUAACACGUGGGAACGUACCUUUUGGUUCGGAACAACUCAGGGAAACUUGAGCUAAUACCGGAUGAGCCCUUAGGGGGAAAGAUUUAUCGCCGAAAGAGCGGCCCGCGUUAGAUUAGCUAGUUGGUGAGGUAAAGGCUCACCAAGGCUACGAUCUAUAGCUGGUCUGAGAGGAUGAUCAGCCACACUGGGACUGAGACACGGCCCAGACUCCUACGGGAGGCAGCAGUGGGGAAUCUUGCGCAAUGGGCGAAAGCCUGACGCAGCCAUGCCGCGUGAAUGAUGAAGGUCUUAGGAUUGUAAAAUUCUUUUACCAGGGACGAUAAUGACGGUACCUGGAGAAAAAGCCCCGGCUAACUUCGUGCCAGCAGCCGCAGUAACAC
rnacentral:rRNA from 1 species